GCACGAGUAGCUCAAUGGUAGAGCAUCGGCUUCCCAAGCCGGGGGUUGCGGGUUCGAUCCCCGUCUCGUGCU
rnacentral:tRNA from 1 species